rnacentral:misc_RNA from 1 species
UACAGAGGGGGCAAGCGUUGCUCGGAAUGACUGGGCGUAAAGGGCGCGUAGGCGGUACGUCAAGUGAGGUGUGAAAGCCCUGGGCUCAACCCAGGAAUAGCAUUUCAGACUGACGGACUAGAGGGCAGGAGAGGAAAGCAGAAUUCCUAGUGUAGAGGUGAAAUUCGUAGAGAUUAGGAAGAAUACCAGAGGUGAAGGCGGCUUUCUGGACUGUGACUGACGCUAAGGCGCGAAAGCGUGGGGAGCAAACAGG